ACAGCAGCAGCCACGGUAAUCCGUAGGUGGCAAGCGUUGUCCGGAAUUAUUGGGCGUAAAGCGCGCGCAGGCGGAUAGGUCAGUCUGUCUUAAAAGUUCGGGGCUUAACCCCGUGAUGGGAUGGAAACUGCCAAUCUAGAGUAUCGGAGAGGAAAGUGGAAUUCCUAGUGUAGCGGUGAAAUACGUAGAUAUUAGGAAGAACACCAGUGGCGAAGGCGACUUUCUGGACGAAAACUGACGCUGAGGCGCGAAAGCCAGGGGAGCGAACGGGAUUAGAUACCCCCGUAGUCCCUGUCUCUUAUACA
rnacentral:rRNA from 1 species